UACGUAGGGCGCAAGCGUUGUCCGGAAUUAUUGGGCGUAAAGAGCUCGUAGGCGGCCUGUUGCGUCCGCUGUGAAAUCCCGGGGCUUAACCCCGGGCGUGCAGUGGAUACGGGCAGGCUGGAGGCAGGCAGGGGAGAACAGAAUUCCCGGUGUAGCGGUGAAAUGCGCAGAUAUCGGGAGGAACACCGGUGGCGAAGGCGGUUCUCUGGGCCUGUACUGACGCUGAGGAGCGAAAGCGUGGGGAGCGAACAGG
rnacentral:rRNA from 1 species